CAUCAACAGCAACAAUAGAAUUUUCUCCAAUAAAAUGGAAAUCUGGAAACUCUGCUUUUACACUUUUAACUAAUGUCAGCCACUUUACAUGAUUUGGAGUAUCCUUAAUUUUGUCUACAAAAUCCAGUGUAUUGGCAACAAAAGUUUCUUCAUGAUUUCUUCCAAAAGUGAAAGAUAAGAAAAUAGAAGAAGAA